UGAUAUCCGUGAACGCGAGGGCAUGUCCUAUGACAUUGAUUGUUGCCUCCACAAAUAAACAGAAACAAUUGAUAUGAAUUUUAUCCUCGAAUCAUUAGAUGGAGCCUCAAAGGGUGCCAAAUGUUCUAGUUGAUAAGUACGAACAUAUUGUCAGCAACCCAAGUGUAGGAGUGCUGAAGAAUUUCACAGGGAGGAAGAAGAAUGUGGUGGCUGGGAAGAACAGCGAGAAGAGAGUUCAGAGUAGUGUAUUGUCUUUCUUCCUGCCCACGCCUCUGCCUACCCCUUUUCCUUAAGUAAUCCCUUUACAGAGCAUAGAAGAGCAAGUCCAAGCAAAUGACCGCCUAGGCCCAACUAAUUGACCCAGUUACUACCCAUUACACGGGAGUUUGAUUUGCGCACACGUCGGCCCAUCUCCUCCUGUGCUCACUGUGUACUGUUGGUGAAGCCGGCACAUGCCUGGGGCUGACAUUCUCCCCUCCAUGAGGCGCCGCUUGCCCCCAAGCGGCCAUAGAUGGGAAGCGCUGCCGCAGGGCCACUUCAUCCUCCCAUGUGUCGAGGGCUGCAUCGUAUCUGGACCAGCGAAGCUUCACUUGAUCCACAAUGGUACCGCCACGAGAAACAGCACACCGGCAACUACCUGAGAAGGAACCUGGAGGUCAACAUGAGCAUCGGACCAAGAAGAACCGACAGUGAUACCCAGCUUCACACUUGACUUAAGCUGUGAUACGUCAAAGAUCAGAUGAAUGGAUGGUGAUGAUGGCAAGUCCAACUUAUACGCGACCGCGCCGAUCCAUUGUACAAGACGCGAAGGCCCAAAAUACUUGUGGGAUAAUUUGUGAUUGUCACGGACAGCAGCUGAGCUCUGGACAUACGGUUGCAAUUUAAGAUAGACCAUGUCCCCGACUGAAAAAUGUCUGUCUGCAUGGCGCUUGUCUGCUUGAUACUGCAUUCUCUGUUGUGCCCGAAGAAGAUGUCUGUGGACUGUCUGAGUCAUCAACUCUCGCUGAGAUAACCAGUGCAACUCAGGUGGAAGAUCCUGAACAACCAACUGAUCUUUGUCUGUCAAGUCGACAAUGCUGCAAAGUUGAACAAAGGGCCCACUAUCAGCAGAAGUCUUGAUCCCAUAAAGCACGACAUAUAUAUUGCCCUUUGAAGGUGUCAACCACGUGUUAGCCCAAUGCACUGUAAAGGGCUAUAAGCCAAAAGCCAAUCCAUUCCAAUGAUGAGAUCAUAGUGUUGCAGAUCCAAGACCUUGGAGGUGGAAACAAAUUGGUGCCCCUGAAUUGACCAAACCACAUCUACGAGUUCACGAGCACAAGACAUAUUAGCGUCGCUGGCCACUUGAACAAUAAGGUGGGCACAAGGAACUAAAAGUGAUGGCAGCUGGGCAUCCACAACCGAACUAACAAAUGAUGUAGAACCACCGGAGUCGAGCAAAAUAAGGACAUUCUCUAAUUGCACAACUGUACGAGAACCAAAAGAUGGCCAGGGUAUUGUCCUGAGUUGAGCACCCACCAUAUGCAUAACCCACUGAACUACAACAGUAUAAUGCCAACUGUCUGCAUAGAAGAUUAGAGCAGUACCAUUAACCAUGAAACAUUCAACUAGUAGCAUCUUGAGCACUUUGAAUUGUUCCAUCGGUAUACUGACGGAUGGAGAACUGAUUUCCGAUGCUUGAGGAGCUGAUAUAUCCAAUGAAUCAAAUUGCAACAGCACAUACUCUUGGACACAAAUGAACCCUCGCCAUGGAGGCUUCCAGAGAAAACAGAGCUCCCCAUACGCAUAACAUCCAUUGCCCAUCCAAAUGUUGUUGAGCUGAGCAGACCAACACCUGGUGUGCGGUGCGAGUUCAAGCUCCUUGUUCGAACACCCUGCCCUCAUCAGAGCCAUCACUGCAACAUCGAAGAUAUGGCAUGGAUAUUUCGUCGAACAGUUGGUAGGCACUCUGAUGUUGAUGGUGCUGGGGACGACGAGCAGGUGCUGCUGCUGAUCACGGCGCGGUGCCUGCUGGGGAAGGAGGUGCGGGAGCGGAUGCUUGACAAAGUCGACGAGGUGUGGGAGAAGAUCACGAAUCUGACCAGCCUUCUGUUCCUGUACGCCCCAACGCCGGUGUUGCGGCAGUGUGACAGGGUGCGCGUAGCGCUCGCGAGUAUCUUCGCCGAGGUCGUCCGGUCGCGCAGGCGCUCCUCCAUCCGAGCCGGGGACGUCGACGUGAUGCAGAGCCUGAUGGAGGCCAGGUACAGGGACGGGCGUGACACGACCGAGCCCGAGGUCAUGGGGCUGGUGGUCGCCAUCAUCUUCUCCGGUAAGCACACGAGCUCGGCCACCAGCACGUGGAUGGGCGCCCAGCUCCUGCGCCACGCGGAGUGCAUGGAGGCGGCUCUCGAUGAGCAGUGGAGGGUCGUGGCGGAGCACGUGGACGAGGCUGGGCUCGUCGGUGGAAGCGGUGGAGGGUUUGUCCCAGUCGUCGGUGAUCUCCGCAUUGGCAGCGUCAUCACCAUCGAAGAGUCCGCCCCAGUUGUCGGCGGUGACGGGCUCCUCGUAGCACAACUCAUUGGAGUCGUCGCCGCUGUCGAAGAGGUCGACCGAUGCGUGGGACUCGACUCGCGGACGCCACGACUCCAGCGCGCCGACGCGAGUUACCGCAGCAGCCUCCACGGCGUCGAUCUGGAGGCUUCGAUCUCGGCUCGUAAGGACGGAAUCGACACAACCACCACUGAUGUCUCCAAGGCCUGGGUCGGCGCUGCGUGGCGAGCAACAUCAAACUCGAGCGAAGCCCAGCGCGCAUCCUGUGCCGAGAGUCGGUCACAGAUCUCGCGCAGGAGCUGUGAAGCAAAUGACCGCCUAGGCCCAACUAAUUGACCCAGUUACUACCCAUUACACGGGAGUUUGAUUUGCGCACACGUCGGCCCAUCUCCUCCUGUGCUCACUGUGUACUGUUGGUGAAGCCGGCACAUGCCUGGGGCUGACACAUAUUGUCCUUAUACUUCAUUAAGGAUGUGUUUGGUUUAAGAUCAAAGUAGGAUAAGGCGGGGACAACACCGUCCCCUCGAUUUUUUGGGACCACACCGCCACCAAAAAUUGCUCCGGUGUUCACUUUCCCCCGCGUGACUCUCAUCCAAACAAUAUAGAAAAUAUGGCUAUCUCCUUUCAUCCCUCCUUGUACAUCUAACUAAACACACCACAAGUUG
rnacentral:lncRNA from 1 species